rnacentral:rRNA from 1 species
UACGGAGGGUGCGAGCGUUGUCCGGAAUCAUUGGGCGUAAAGGGCGCGUAGGCGGCCCGGCAAGCCCGCUGUGAAAGACCGGGGCCCAACCCCGGGGUGUCAGCGGGGACUGCCGGGCUCGAGCGCCGGAGGGGGGUGCGGGAAUUCCUGGUGUAGCGGUGGAAUGCGUAGGAGAUCGAGGAAGAACACCGAUGGCGAAGGCAGCACUCUGGCCGGAGGCUGACGCUGAGGCGCGAAAGCGUGGGAGCAAACAGG